rnacentral:lncRNA from 1 species
AAAUAGCUGGCCGUGUAGUUUGUAUUUGUUUAGCUGGCUCAAUGUAUGUGUCGUUGAUGUUUAGUUGAGUUGAUUGGUUUGGUAUAUUUGUUUUGAACUUUAUUUGUAAGAUUAGACAAAGAGAGAGGUGAUCAUUAAUGAUUCGUCUAUUUUGGGAUUCUAGUUUUUGUUGUUUUGAUUGUUUGGGUUAAUUGUGGUUUCUUUUAAGCUGUAAAAUAAAGAUUUGU